rnacentral:lncRNA from 1 species
CUAAGGAGUCAUUAGGAUACUACUUCUACUUUUCAGAAGACCACAAUGUAAUUGUGAGUCGACACGUCAUAUUUUUGAAAAGUAGUUUAUCCAGGAUAGUAGCAAUGGAAGGUUGAUUGAGCUCGAAAAGAAAAUCUCUGAAGAGCAAUGAGCUAAGAAACUGGACAAAUCUACUAAUAAUGAGCCAGUAGUUCCACCUCCACCUCAU